AUUCCUGGGGAAGCCAGCUACCAUGUUUGAGGCUACUCAAUGAGUCCUAGGAGAGGUCCAUGUGAUAUGGAGUGGAGGCCUCUUUCCAACAGCCAGUGAGGAACUGAGGCCUUGCACCAACAGCAUGCGUUGCAUGCUUUUGCAAAUUGAAGGUCUGUGGCAACCUUGGGUCAAGCAAGUCUAUCAGUGCCAUUCUUCCAACAUAGGUGUAUAUGCUGGAGCAGCUGUACUUAAGUCCAGAAAUAAGAAGACAAUUGAUCUGAGGACUCAGGAGAGAGCAUGGCUGCUGCGUAGAUGGUGCCUUCCAUCGCUUGGCAUAGGGAAGCCAAGCCAAAGCCUGUGUCUUGGGUAGCACGGGAGCUCUCAGGAUGGCUUGAAAUCUCCCACCUGGCCUGGGCCUGUUCACCUUCCCCUCCAGCUCUCCUGGGUGCAGUCAAAGCUUCACUCCCUACGCCCUACUGAACUAUUAGCUGACUGAUUCCCACUUGUCCGUGCCCCAGGACUCCACAGAAGCUCCACAUGCUUCCACAAGCUGAUGUGCCAGUUCCAAGAGGAGGAAGAAAAGCUGGCACUCAGCCUCUAUUUCUCCCCAAACUCCACAGUCAUUCAAUUCUGCAAAAAAAAAAAAAAAAAAAAAAAAAAAAAAAAAAAAAAAAAAAAAAAAAAAAA